rnacentral:rRNA from 1 species
CAGCCGCCGCGGGAAUACGUAGGGUGCAAGCGUUAAUCGGAAUUACUGGGCGUAAAGCGUGCGUAGGCGGUUCGUUAAGUCUGUUGUGAAAGCCCCGGGCUCAACCUGGGAAUGGCAAUGGAUACUGGCGAGCUAGAGUGUGUCAGAGGAUGGUGGAAUUCCCGGUGUAGCGGUGAAAUGCGUAGAGAUCGGGAGGAACAUCAGUGGCGAAGGCGGCUUACUGGCUCAUUCUAGACGCUGAGGUGCGAAAGCGUGGGGAGCAAACAGGAUUAGAUACCCCCGUAGUCCCUGUCUCUUAUAC